CAGGAAGCCCGAAAAAGUGGAAGUAGGCAGUGGAGGGGAAUAAGUGCUUAGGAGUUCAGCGCGGGCAUCGGAAAGUCACAGAUCUUAAAGCAGCAAGGGGCGGUAGCCACACUUAGCAUGGCGACUAAAAGGCGGCAGAGCGAAGGGGGCGGAGCCACGUCUUGGUGGGGAAGGAGGCACGUUGCCGUCCCCGUCGUCUCACUCAUUGGUUUCUUUGAGGAGUCAGAACGGCAAUGGAUGUACGUGAUGUCAGUCAUUAGCAAGUCCCGCUUCCGGGCUCUCGUUGUUUCUCAGGGCCACAGGGCCCAGGUCUCUCAAGAUCGCUAGAACCCUGCCUCCGGCGUGACGUCAUGACGCGGGCGGCUCCCUGGUGUGGGAGGUGGCUGCGCGGGCGGGCGGCCUUGGGUCGCCGACCGCCGCCCUGAGAUGGAAAGCCUCGGGCUGAUGGACCGGUAGGAACCGGAAGCUUGCCCGCGACCAUGCUGUAUCUGGCUGAAGUCUUUCCGGCGGCCUCCUUUGGGUUCCUCCGCGCAACAGGAGUUCGGUUCCUUUUCUGCCUAGGGCCGAGAGGCCAAUGGAGCGCCUCGCGAGGUCGGGCCUUUAAGCGCGGGAGGUUGGCCCCUGCCCUUUGGGUCCUUUGGGCCCUUUUCGUGUGACUUCUCUCAACUUCAGUUUUCUCGGGAAAAGUAACGAGGCGAAAGCUGGCCGCUUGGUUAAACAGUGUCGGCGUGGACUGGCCAGGAAGAAGAGGGAUGGGAAUCAGAUAUCAGGAAGGAGCAAAAUCUGGUGGUAAAGAUUAGAGAUCUCAAGGUUUGUACCAGUAGAACAAUCCAUAAACCAGGUAUUCUUAAACCGG